GCUGCCCUGUCGCCAUUGAACAAAGCUAAUACUCACUAGAGCAUAUGGUAAAAUCUUUUCUAAAGACUUAAAAAAAAAAGAAAGAAAAAAAAAAGAAAAAGGAAAGGGGAGAGGAGAAAGAACGAAACAACUUAACCUUCCUUCAGCGCUUUUCCUCAGCGCAAAUCCAUCCCCCCACCCCAGGUUACUGCAAACUGCUUCCACCCAGAAAAGAGCAGUGCUGGACACAGUUGGAGCGGGGGUGGGUAGGGGAAUCUACUCCUGGGAGAUGCCGCUGCUAUUGCCCAGCUGAUUGAGACGCCUGAACCCCAAGGAACGAGCGACUCCUCAGUUCAGGCUAAUGGAUGACGUUGGAGAUAGUGAAGGACAUACCUGUGAAAUACCCAUGAAAUAAUCUGUCAGUGAUGUCUGCUUCCUGAACUGUUUGAGAUUAUUAAGGAUCUCUGAGUAUGGGAGCAUAGAAGAGCGAGGUCAAAGGGCCUAUAUGCUUUCAGUCUUCAAAGGUGGUGUGAUUUGGGGAGAAGUCUGCUGUUUUCCUCAUCUGUGUUCUGGUUCUUCUUCAGGUAAGAUCUCUGGCGAUCAUAAUCUUUCUUUGUUCUUGAACUAUAAGUGAUCCUCAUGUAGUAUUUUUACUUCCCUGUCUCCAUAAACAUUCCUUUCCAAUUUGGAACUGAGACCCCUACAUGGUUAAGACUCUUGCUCCCUUGUAAUUGUUCCCUUCUUUCCAGUUUGGAACUCUAAUCCAGGACUUGACAAUGGGCAAUGAAAUUAUCAAAUAUGGCAUCCUUUUGGGGGAACUCUGUAAUCAUUUUUUUUUCUUUUUUUCCCUUAUUUUAUUUGAA